rnacentral:tRNA from 3 species
GGGCCCUUAGCUCAUCCGGUAGAGCGCUUCCAUGGCAUGGAAGAGGUGAGCGGUUCAAGUCCGCUAGGGUCCA